rnacentral:tRNA from 1 species
ACUAUUUUGGCAGAAUUAUGCAAUGAUUUUAGAAGUCAUAAAUAUAUAAUUUAAAUUAUAUAGAUAGUA